rnacentral:rRNA from 1 species
UACGAAGGGGGCUAGCGUUGCUCGGAAUCACUGGGCGUAAAGGGCGCGUAGGCGGCCUGGUAAGUAGGGGGUGAAAUCCUGCGGCUUAACCGCAGGGCUGCCUUCUAAACUGUCAGGCUUGAGCACGGUAGAGGCAGAUGGAAUUCCCGGUGUAGCGGUGGAAUGCGUAGAGAUCGGGAAGAACAUCAGUGGCGAAGGCGGUCUGCUGGGCCGUUGCUGACGCUGAGGCGCGACAGCGUGGGGAGCAAACAGG